rnacentral:misc_RNA from 1 species
UCCGUCAGCCCUCACCAGGGGGCACCGUUGCGCCGUCGUCGCCAUCGCUGCCACAGGGCACCACCAUCGCGGUCACUGUCGCGCACAGCCCAUAGAGGCGCACAUACGUAGAGAGACGGACUCGCCGCAUCGGUGCUGAGUGGCCCUCACCCCCUCCACACCCUCAUUGUAGAGCUGUACUGCCGCGCCAACGCAGGCAUCGAGAGAGGACCGCAUGUGGCACCCCAGCGCCGGGGCGGCUGCGGCGGGCUACCGCGACCCGACCACGCUGCUUGCCGAGAGCGUCUCCUUAACCGUUACCGGGUCCGACGAGAGCGAUGAUGACUACCGCACGUCGCAGGGCCUUCGGAAGGCUGCGCCGGGAAAGCAGGCGGCCACCAGCCGUGCGCUGACCGGCAGCAGGCGCACGAGCUCCGACGGGGAGCGGGUGCAGCGGCAGCGUGAGCUGCAAGAGCAUCGCUUCUUCCGCAAGCGCGGCGCUCUGGACUACCGACACAGCGUCGUUUUCUCGCCCGCCGGCUGUGAGUCGACCGGAGGACGGGGCAGUGGCGGCGCCCUGUCAAGCGCGGCCGUGGAGGCCGUGCCCUCCCCUCAUCCGCGACGGCAGCGACAGGGCACCGCCUCGAAAAGCGGCUUUGCCGCCGACGAGCCGGACGAGCACUGCGUGCCGGAGGAGCUUCGGGCGUGGUACGUGGCGAGCAACAGUGCGGUGCGCGUGGCGAAGCAGGCGAAGGUGCGCCACUCCUCCACGCGCGCGGCAUCGGCGGAGCCGGGGGACUCGCGCGCCGGAGACGAAGCAUCCGCGCCGACGGACGCGCUCACUGAUCGACCCGAAACGCCAGGUUUGGCAGAUGACCGCAACCACGGCGAGGGCCGCGUGUUCGGCGACGUCGUUGUCCGCCCAUCCAUCCGCAGCGGCGGUGCCGGCACGACAUCUGUGAACGUCCUGCAGAGCCACUCUGCCCCACGCGUGGGCGGUGGGGCGCAUCCACCAGAAGGCGGAUGGGUUGGCGCCGCGGCAGGUGCCGGAAAAGGGCAGACGCCGGCCUCCGCGACAGGGGCACAGGCAGCCGCAUCGCUCUCCUCCGGGUCGGGUGUGACGCCCGAGUCCAUCAGGAAGGGCAGCGCGACCGCGGCAGCGGUCACGGACGACGCAAACGUGGAACCGCACGCUUGGGGGGGGCGGCCGCCUUUGCGGGCUCACCGCUACGUCGAGCAGCCCAAUGGCCUUUUCAUCGACCACGCGCGGCAUGCCGACCUGCUGGCCGAGUACGCCGCCGAAGCGGAGCUGCGUUAUGCUCAGGAAAGGGAGGACGCCCGUCGUGCGCGGCGGUGGGCGCGCGUGCUCUACGGCCGAAGCAGUGGAGCUCGUCGUGACGGGGGGCGGCGGCAAGACGAGACGACGGCAGUUACCGCCUCGGCGAACGCCAGCGGCACGGCGAUGGCGCGCAUCGGUUGCUACUGGUUGUACGACGCGGCGACAUACCGCCGCCGCUUCCUCUCCACGCUGCGCUACCUACAGCGGGUGCACGUCUUUCUCGGCGCCCUUGCCGCUGGCGUAUCACUGCUAGCGCUUCUCGCAAUCACGGUGCCCUUCCCUACCCCCUACAUCGGCAGCGACGGUGUGGUCGGCGCCGAUGCCGGCAGCGGCGCAUCUGCCGUGCUGCUGCUCGCACUCUUCGCCAAUGCGUCUGCCACGCCGGAUGAUACCGCCGCUGCAGCGGCCGCCGCGCACGUGCUCCCGGUGCUGGAGCAGGGCUACCCGGCCUUUGCCCUCUUCAUCACCCUCUUCCAGGUGUACCACGCCUCCCUGCUCCUGUGUCUGUGCCUCCUGCUCGUCAUCACGGGGUACGCGCCGGCGCCGUGGUCCGUGGCAGAGGGAUGCUGGAUGGCGCAGCGGCGGCGGUGGCUGCAGCAGGAAGACGAAGAUGCCGAGCACGCAAGCAAGUGGGGCGGGGAGGCUGGAAAGCGUCGACGACCGGGCGGCGGUGGCGAGUUUCGCAACGACAGCAUCGCCAGUAGCGAUGGCACCGUCUUCGCCAGCGCCAGUACUGGGGCAGGGUUGGGGGGGGCGCGAGGGCCGUCGAACAUGGCGCGCCGAGAUGCCGCGUCCUCCAGUAGCGUCCUCGGCGGCGGCACGCGCCACAGUGACCAACUGGACGACGGCUCCCGCUCAGCGCUCUUCGCCACGGGGACCCUGCACCACUCCCCCGACGAUUGGCUCAGCAUGUCAAUGGGCGGCGGCGGCGGUGUUGGUGGUGGUGGCUGGGCGAACAGAGGGGCGUACGGCAGCGACGAGCUGGACUACAGCGCUACGAACGUGCUCUGCGGUAGCCGCGGCGCCACACACGGCCGUCAGCGACUGGACUCGCUGAGAUACAGCGUGAACCUUGGCGCAAGCACUGGGCCCAGUGGCCUUGGUGCCACCUACGCCGCGUACGGUGCCACGCUCAGCAGUCUCCCCGGCACGGGAGGCUGGGGGACGCUGGGCGAGGCACAACAUACGUUCCCACCCGCCACCAUGCUGAUGUCGCCGCGCAGACCCGGUGGCGGUGCGAGCCGCUACCACCCGCUGCAUCGAAACAGCGAAGGCGGAAAUCUCGCCGGCAGCGCAACGACAGACGUGCCGGGGCGUCAUCGGCAGCAACAGUAUUGGCUGCAGGGGGGAUUCACGCUGCGCGGAGAUCAUCCGGCAGCGGCACAGCGGGGGGGCGGCGCCGCCGUCAGCCGCGCCCUGGGGGCACCGCCUCUUCAGUUGCACUUUCCAGACAGCACGCUGGAGGGCAGCCUCUCGGCAAACAACGUGUUCACGCGCACUUUCGACAGCAUCGAGCGGCGUGCCAUGCAGGGGCUGUGCGACGCACUGCGUGUGUUGCCGCGCGUCUUCUGCGUGCUCUGUGCGCGGCGCGGCGACGACACCAUCAAAAGCAGUGGCGCCCGCAGAGCCCGAGGUGGAGCAGCGCGGGGAGCUGAUGCGCGGCCGCGCUACGUGGAGGGCGGCGCGACAGCGGCUGGGCGGGAGCUGGCCUCAUCCUUGAGCCCACAGCUCCACCACACUAACCCAGUCCUGCCUGCCUUCCUCUACCUGCACGUCGUGCUUCAGCCGCGGCUCUGGUGCGUGGUUGUGGCGUUGGUGCUGACCGUCGUUGAGAUAGCACUCGUCGACGAGCGCACUGUCGAGCUACUCUGGCUGGCGCAGCCGGCGUCGUGGUGGUCGGCGGCCGCCGUGCCAUCGCAGCGGAGGACCAGUAGCGGUGACGUGGUCCUUCCUCACGCGUGGACAGUGGCCAACUUCACGCCGACGUCCGCGAGGACGAGCGGCGGCGGCGGCGUCCGAUUCGCUGCAGCGGCGUCGGAUAGAGCUUUCCUUCCGGGCGGCGCGUUGCCGGAUGGCGCCGAGGACACCUCCGGAUAUCUGUGGUGCGUGCUGAUGGCGGUCUACGCGACACGCACGGCGGUGCUCUGGGUCGCCUUCCUGCUGAACACAUUUUUCUAGUACGCAACAGUCCGCUCUUCACCACCACCCCUCCCUGAGCCGCUGCCGACAUCAUCGGCCGUCGAGAGGGAGGGACAUAACCUCCACGCAGUGCCUCUCCUGGUGCGCAGUUGCGUGUCCAGUAGACGUCAUAGACAUGCAUAGAUGCGCACGUGCACACGCGUGAGGGCGCACACACACACAGAAGGAACUGCUCACUGUUCCUCAUCAACAGCAUCCCGCCAGAUGUGCAAGGGUCGCCACGACCGGCAGCGCCACCAUUCAUGACGGCCACUGCGCCUCUCACCUUCUCUCUCGCACACACACACACAUAUACACGCGUUGCACGCUGGCAUCGCCCACCCCCACCCACCUCUCACACUGCCCACUGGGGUGUCGGGCGCCGGAGUGCGGCCCUGAGGAAAGGUGGAGAUGCACCCAAGGGGUGGCAGCCGACAUGAUAGGGGGAGCGGCUAUGAGCUGGGUGGGUGGGGUUCGAGGCAGAGGCGGUGCCGAGAGGACUGAGGCGGCCCACGAGCGGUAACGCGCGCGUCUACGGCUGCUUGGCACCACGCGAUGGGGUGCUGUGGGGCAGGGCCGGGUGGCUCGCGCGGUGUUUGAG